UUUCAGUUGAGAGAAGCUACAGCAAAGGACUUGUCCAGUGACCAAAGACCUUCUGUGGCCUUUGCUGGAAGCUGCUGUGAGACAGACUCUUCACAGACUUCCCCAGAGCAGGAUUCUGAGGAAGACACAGCUAUUCUGCUGUGAAAAAUACAUCUGCAGCCAACUACUCCUGCUGAAUGCUUAAGAGGGCAGAAAACCAGCUCUAGCCUAAAAAGGCUGAAGUGACUCUUUUGGAAUUUGAACUGAAGCUCCACCCAACAGCUCAAGUGCAGGAAUGCAUUGUUACACAAUUCCUGACGUUCAGGUAGUGUGACUUU